rnacentral:rRNA from 1 species
GAUGAAUGCUGGCGGCGUGCCUAACACAUGCAAGUCGAGCGGCAGCGCGAGUAGUUUACUACUUGGCGGCGAGCGGCGGACGGCUGAGUAACGCGUGGGAACGUGCCCCAAAGUGAGGAAUAACUGCCCGAAAGGGUGGCUAAUGCCGCAUAUGAUCUUCGGAUUAAAGGAUUUAUCCGCUUUGGGAGCGGCCCGCGUCGGGUUAGGUUGUUGGUGAGGUAAUGGCUCACCAAGCCGACGAUCCGUAGCUGGUCUGAGAGGAUGAUCAGCCAGACUGGGACUGAGACACGGCCCAGACUCCUACGGGAGGCAGCAGUGAGGAAUCUUCCACAAUGGGCGAAAGCCUGAUGGAGCAACGCCGCGUGAAGGAUGAAGGCCCUCGGGUUGUAAACUUCUUUUAUAAGUGAAGAAUAUGACGGUAACUUAUGAAUAAGCACCGGCUAACUACGUGCCAGCCGCCGCGGUAAUAC